rnacentral:sRNA from 1 species
GCCCGGGUGGUGAAAUUGGUAGACGCAGGGGAC